AAGAGAUUAUACUAGAUAUCAGCUACUGAAUGAUGAAUGCCUUCCAGUGUUUGGUCCUUGUUGCUGCUAUUGGAUUCAUCAUUACUACUACAGUGUCUGGUGAGGUUUGUUAUACUGAUGAAAACUGCAAGGAUUACAAUGCCUCGACGACCCAAGUCUGCUGUACUUUUGAAGGAAUUAAGUCUUUCAAGCUUUACAGUGCUGCUUCUUGUAUGAAGUGCAAGCUGUAGCUGAAAUAAA